rnacentral:rRNA from 1 species
UGGGGAAUCUUGGACAAUGGGCGCAAGCCUGAUCCAGCCAUGCCGCGUGAGUGAUGAAGGCCUUAGGGUUGUAAAGCUCUUUUGCCGGGGACGAUAAUGACGGUACCCGGAGAAUAAGUCCCGGCUAACUUCGUGCCAGCAGCCGCGGUAAUACGAAGGGGACUAGCGUUGUUCGGAAUCACUGGGCGUAAAGCGCACGUAGGCGGAUUUGUAAGUCAGGGGUGAAAUCCCGGGGCUCAACCUCGGAACUGCCUUUGAUACUGCGGAUCUCGAGUCCGAUAGAGGUGAGUGGAAUUCCUAGUGUAGAGGUGAAAUUCGUAGAUAUUAGGAAGAACACCAGUGGCGAAGGCGGCUUACUGGUCCGACACUGACGCUGAGGCGCGAAAGCGUGGGGAGCAAACAGGAUUAGAUACCCCAGUAGUCCCUGAGCGGGCUGGCAAGGCGCAU